UUCCUACGGGACGCAGCAGUGAGGAAUAUUGGUCAAUGGGCGGGAGCCUGAACCAGCCAAGCCGCGUGAAGGAAGAAGGCGCCAGGCGUCGUAAACUUCUUUUGUCGGGGAACAAAGGGCGCCACGCGUGGCGUUGUGAGUGUACCCGAAGAAAAAGCAUCGGCUAACUCCGUGCCUGCAGCCGCGGUAAUACGUAGGGGGCAAGCGUUAUCCGGAUUUACUGGGUGUAAAGGGAGCGUAGACGGCAGAGCAAGUCUGAAGUGAAAGCCCGCGGCCCAACUGCGGGACUGCUUUGGAAACUGCCC
rnacentral:rRNA from 1 species